GACGAACGCUGGCGGCGUGCCUAAUACAUGCAAGUCGAGCGGAUGAAAGAGGAGCUUGCUCCUCUAGAUUCAGCGGCGGACGGGUGAGUAACACGUGGGCAACCUGCCCUGUAGAUUGGGAUAACUCCGGGAAACCGGGGCUAAUACCGAAUAAUCCUUCGGACCUCAUGGUCCGAUGUUGAAAGACGGUUUCGGCUGUCACUACAGGAUGGGCCCGCGGCGCAUUAGCUAGUUGGUGAGGUAACGGCUCACCAAGGCCACGAUGCGUAGCCGACCUGAGAGGGUGAUCGGCCACACUGGGACUGAGACACGGCCCAGACUCCUACGGGAGGCAGCAGUAGGGAAUCUUCCACAAUGGACGAAAGUCUGAUGGAGCAACGCCGCGUGAGUGAAGAAGGUUCUCGGAUCGUAAAACUCUGUUGUGAGGGAAGAACAAGUACCGGAGUAACUGCCGGUGCCUUGACGGUACCUCAUUAGAAAGCCACGGCUAACUACGUGCCAGCAGCCGCAGUAA
rnacentral:rRNA from 1 species